CCGGAUAAUCGCACUUAAAAAAGUGAGGAAAGUCCGUGCAUCCAAGAACAGACCGCCGGAGAAACUCCGGACGACGUGAGUCGGUGGACAGUGCCACAGAAAUGAGGACUUCCGAUGGCUGAAAAGCACAGGAGAUGGUGCAACGGUGAGGUAAGAGCGUCACCAGCGAUAUUGAGAAAUAUCGGCUAGGUAAACCCCGGUCGGAUGCAAGAUUAAAUCUAAGGUUAUAAAGGCUGUUCGCCAACUUAGGAAAAAUCGCUAGCGGUUAUGAGUAAUCAUAAUCCCAGACAGAUGAUUAUCUAGAAACAGAACACGGCUUAUGAACUGCUUU
rnacentral:RNase_P_RNA from 1 species